rnacentral:tRNA from 1 species
CCUUCGUCCAGAGGCCUAGGACACCGGCCUCUUACGCCGGCAAUAGAGAUUCGAAUCCCCUAGGAAACACCA